AACGAACGCUGGCGGCGUGGAUAAGACAUGCAAGUCGAGCGGGAACUUUCGCUGUAGCAAUACAGUGAAAGUUCUAGCGGCGAACGGGUGCGUAACACGUGGACAAUCUGCCUUAAAGUGGGGGAUAGCUCGGCGAAAGCCGAAUUAAUACCGCAUGUGAUGAGAGACGACAUCGUCUUGAAAUCAAAGCCGGGGCAACCUGGCGCUUUUUGAGGAGUCCGCGGCCAUCAGCUUGUUGGUGAGGUAACGGCUCACCAAGGCUAUGACGGGUAGCUGGUCUGAGAGGACGACCAGUUACACUGGAACUGAGACACGGUCCAGACACCUACGGGUGGCAGCAGUCGAGUAAUUUUUGAACAAUAGGGGAAACCCUGAUCGAGCGACGCCGCGUGGA
rnacentral:rRNA from 1 species